rnacentral:snoRNA from 1 species
ACAUGGGUUUGGAUUUAUGGCAGGCCUAUCUCCAUGGUCCUCUCAUAGUGUCCCAUGCCAGAGCACUGAAGGGAGUUGCACAGUG